GGAGGAUCAUUAUCGUAGGGCUUCGGCCCUGUCGAGAUAGAGCCCUUGCCUUUUUGAGUACCUUUCGUUUCCUCGGCAGGCUCGCCUGCCAAUGGGGACCACAAAAAACACUUUGCAGUACCUGUAACAGUCUGAACAAACAAAACAAAAAUUAAAACUUUCAACAACGGAUCUCUUGGUUCUGGCAUCGAUGAAGAACGCAGCGAAAUGCGAUAAGUAGUGUGAAUUGCAGAAUUCAGUGAAUCAUCGAAUCUUUGAACGCACAUUGCGCCCUUUGGUAUUCCUUAGGGCAUGCCUGUUCGAGCGUCAUUUAAACCUUCAAGCUAAGCUUGGUGUUGGGUGACUGUCCGCUUCACUGCGGACUCGCCUCAAAAUUAUUGGCGGCCGGUACAUUGGCUUCGAGCGCAGCAGAAACGCGAACUCGGGCCCGUCGUAUUGGCUCCCAGAAGCUAUCUUCACAAUUUUGACCUCGGAUCAGGUAGGGAUACCCGCUGAACUUAAGCAUAUCAAUAAGCGGAGGA
rnacentral:rRNA from 1 species